CCCAGCUUCACCUGUAGGGCCCUCCGACAGCAUGGAGGUGCCCCUCCUCCAUGUCUGGCCCGGUAUGCAGGCGAGCGUGUGAUUACGGAGGACCUACCAGGUGCCCUCGGGAGCUGCGGGGCACGCGCUGAAGCCCUGCGGCCCCUUGCUGCUCCUAGGCCGCCGUGGGGAGGAGCUGCGCGCGGGUGGCGGGGCCGCGUGCGCAUCCUGCGGCUGUCGGCCACUGUCUGGGGACGGAGGGGUCGGCGGGACGGCUUGAAUUCAGGGCCUGUCCGCAGCGUAAGGAGGCUGUCCCGAGAGCUCAGGGUGGAGGAGGAAGGCGGGGACAAGGGACCGCGUGGGGGCUGUAUUUCCCUGACUGGGCCCGCCGUGGGGCCGGGAAGACGCCCCGCGGAGGAAGAACGCCUCCCAGGGCCAGGCCGCCCUGUGCUCGGCCCGAGCGGCUCCUGGAGAGCAGAGUGCGUCCCGACGUCCCCCAGGUCUUCAGCCCAGCAGAGAGGGUCCGCCGCCGAGCCGGGCAGGGCUGGAGCGCAGCGGAGGGUGCACGUGGUCCUGAGUUCCCCCGAAGGUGAUCUUAGGCCGCAGGUGCAGCGCGUGAUGUUUCCGGACGUGCCUGGGGGUGCAGCCCCCCUUCUCACCCUUGCUCCCCAGGGAGGCCCCUUUGGCGGUUUCUUCCUCCGUUCCGCUUUGGAGGGAAGAGGAGAAGAGCCCGGGAGGCGUGAAGUGGACGGGGCCUGGUGA
rnacentral:lncRNA from 1 species